rnacentral:rRNA from 1 species
AGUGAACGCUGGCGGUAGGCCUAACACAUGCAAGUCGAACGGCAGCACAGUAAGAGCUUGCUCUUACGGGUGGCGAGUGGCGGACGGGUGAGGAAUACAUCGGAAUCUACUUUUUCGUGGGGGGUAACGUAGGGAAACUUACGCUAAUACCGCAUACGACCUACGGGUGAAAGCAGGGGAUCUUCGGACCUUGCGCGAUUGAAUGAGCCGAUGUCGGAUUAGCUAGUUGGCGGGGUAAAGGCCCACCAAGGCGACGAUCCGUAGCUGGUCUGAGAGGAUGAUCAGCCACACUGGAACUGAGACACGGUCCAGACUCCUACGGGAGGCAGAAGUGGGGAAUAUUGGACAAUGGGGGCAAGCCUGAUCCAGCCAGACCGCGUGGGUGAAGAAGGCCUUCGGGUUGUAAAGCCCUUUUGUUGGGAAAGAAAAGCAGCAGGUUAAUACCCCGCUGUUCUGACGGUACCCAAAGAAUAAGCACCGGCUAACUUCGUG